rnacentral:rRNA from 1 species
UACGAAGGGGGCUAGCGUUGUUCGGAAUUACUGGGCGUAAAGCGCACGUAGGCGGAUAUUUAAGUCAGGGGUGAAAUCCCAGAGCUCAACUCUGGAACUGCCUUUGAUACUGGGUAUCUUGAGUAUGGAAGAGGUAAGUGGAAUUGCGAGUGUAGAGGUGAAUGACGCAGAUAUCAGGAAGAACACCCGUGGCUAAGGCGGCUCUCUAGUACGGUACUGACGCUGAGA